CGCGAACGUUGGCGGCGUGCCUAACACAUGCAAGUCGUGGGGCAGCAGGCUACUGUCUUUUGGCAGUAGUGCUGGCGACCGGCAAACGGGUGAGUAACACGUAGCUUACCUACCCAUAGGUUGGGGAUAACAUCCCGAAAGGGGUGCUAAUACCCAAUAAUGAGGAGACUCCAAAGCCCUUUUGGGCGCCUAUGGAUGGGGCUGCGUCCCAUCAGCUAGUUGGUGAGGUAAUGGCUCACCAAGGCUACGACGGGUAACCGGUCUGAGAGGAUGACCGGUCACAGUGGGACUGAGACACGGCCCGCACCCCUACGGGGGGCAGCAGUGGGGAAUAUUGGGCAAUGGCCGAAAGGCUGACCCAGCAACGCCGCGUGGUGGAUGAAGCCCUUCGGGGUGUAAACACCUUUUCUGGGGGAAGAUAAUGACGGUACCCCAGGAAUAAGGGACGGCUAACUACGUGCCAGCAGCCGCGGUAAUACGUAG
rnacentral:rRNA from 1 species